AAUCAUUCAUUUUUCAAAAAAAAAAAAAAAAACAAUAGUCUAUCCAUUUUCAUUUUCACAAAAAUGGUGGCCAAAUGGGGGAAUAUCAUAUCUUUCAUUCCUAAAAUUCUAAAGCCUUACCAAUCUACAUAAUUUUUUUAAUAUCGCUAUAAUAUUACUUUGACUUGGGACUCUUUCAAAAUGUCAAAAUAUUUAGCAUAUUAUUUCAAAGUUUCAUGUGUUGAAAUUUAUGUGAACGGUCCGUCCAGUACAUUCCUUUUAUCAUCUCCUCCUUUCGUUCCUACAUUGUUUCUUUUGAAUUCUUGCUUCAUCUUAGCAUUACCUCUUGAAGAAUCAGUAUGGAUUAACAUUGGUAAAGGAAUUCGGUAGAAAGCUUGCAUAUUUCUAUUAAAUCGAUAAGGAAUGAAUAGACAGCAUAACAGAGUACACAAACUACUGCAAGAAACUUCAUCAUAGGAAUAGAUAGGUCUCCGGAAAUUGAUGGCCAAAAGAUUUGCAAAGAAUUCCACUGAUGAUUUCUUUAAGGAAUCUUUUGUUGAAUUCCCCCGUCUCUUCUUUUUUUACUAAUUCCCUAAAGUAUUUUGAUUUUGCAUUGAACACUUGGUGGACCUUUUGAAGCAUUAUAUUUCAAUGCUCUACGGAAGUUGUCUCAAGCAAAAACUUGUUUCUCUUCCUUACCCUCAUUCAUUAACACUCUUAGUUUCAUAAAAUGACUUCAGCUCUAAACUUGAUUAAAACUACAUUUAUAAGCACAUGGACAAUAUAAAAUCAUACAUAAUGAGGUAAAAAAUAAUUUGAAAGCCACAAAAAAUAGGAUGGUUUUAUAGAAACGCUGGGAUCAUUAAAAUUAUAUUAUCAAAAUGAGUUUCACUAAAAUGAGUUUCACUAACACCGACUUUCAAUGCUAUUCCAACAAUGAAUAAAUGAGCUAAUUGAAUAUCUAUUUUUCUUAAUGCUAAUAUGAAUUGUAUACAUCAAUCUAAUGCCCAACAGUAUGUAAUAUGAUAUUAUAUGCUCAAUUAAAAGAUAGAUCUCUGUUCACCUCUUAAGCGAAAAGAGAAAGAAGAUGCCAAGGCAAUUCUCACAAAAUAUCUAUUACACAAAGCAAGCAGCCAAGUAUAACCGCUUUUUUCCAAUUCCAUAUUUCUUGUGAAAUCCAAUCCAAUUCCAGAAACCACUCCAUGCUUACGGUAAAAGACUAACCAUAGAAAAAGAGAGCAAAAGAGUUCCCCCAUUGAGUUCUCACACAUUGAAAUAUUUCUAGGCUGAUCAACAUAUUGCAACCCCAUAUAACAGUUGCUGCAGUUAUUAAGCAUGAAAAGUGUAAGGAUGUCUUGUAUGUAGUUAUCAAUAAAGCUUUGUUAGGCAAUUUGUUAUCAAACGACCUUUCCCCGAGCUAUGAUGUUACUCGGUUUAAGUUUUUAGCCGGCCUAGCCAAAUGACUGAACGAGAAUCCAACACCACUUUCGAGACGAUACGACCCAAAGGUUAUUUGGGCCACUUGAAGCAAUCUAAAUAAUUUAGUGUUGCUUGUGGCUCAAUACACUUCCUUGGAUGGCCAUUAAUUGAGAGAAUAUCUUGUGAGCCCAUUUAAUUGUCUCUUGGGUCUUCAACUUGACCCAUUGUUUAACCUACCUAUACUUACCUUAUUUGGGCCACUGGAUUGAGAGAUAAAUUGGUCUUUUUCUCUCAUUUUGAGAGAACUCGUCGCUGCCUCCUAUUCUUGGCCGAUUCUCAUGGUUUCUUCUUCCAUCUUCUCUGCCUCUUUUUGUCUAUCAUCUUAGUGGUGAUUGUUUAUGAGAUUUCUUGCUCCUUUGUGAUCUCCUAAGUGAUAUAUCUCAUUGGCAACCGAAAGUAAACUUGGUAUUAUCUUGGGUUCGUGGUUGUCGGCUUUGUGGUGUUGGAAGUGGGUAUAAACUAAGCUUAGGUUAUCUUUGGUGAUCUAUAUCAUCAUCUUACAUCUGGUAUCAAAUCUUAGGUUUUUGAUUUCUAUCAAAAUAGUCCAAAAUUGAGAGGAAGAGGCGCCAUUUUUCAAAAUGACCGAACCUAAAUCCUUCAAUUAUUCCCAAACUAAAUCUCUUUUGGACAAACGAAGUUCAGACCCAUAACUAGCAAGUCGAGGUGCCCCCUAUGAGGUAGUACAUGGUGGUGAUGGCAGCGGUCCGACAGCGACGCGUGGGAGGCCCUGCAACGUAAUUUUUUAUGCCAUUUCAUUUAUUUCAUUCUCUUGAACGUUUUGAUGUGUUUAGUUUAGUGUUUCAGAUUGCGAAAGAAAAGUUGGAUGAUAUUGCCCCUGACCUCAAUCUACAUUUGUUGCUGAUCGAAAUUGUUAUAUUUGCUGAAUCUUUAAGGCGAAUAAUGGUGGCCCUAAAGAAGCAAAUUUGCAUCUCUCCACAUUAUGGACUUAGAUAGGUUCGCUCUAGUAAGUUGGCUGAAAUCUUUAUAUUUUUGCACUAGCAAAUCAUCGUGUAGGGUGAUCAUUAGGUUUGAUGGUUGUCAUUGCUUGGCAACAAUUGCUUAUGCUAGAAAUUAAGGUUACAUGUACUUAAUUGUUUGAUUGAGUAUCUGGCUUUUAGUUAAAUCAGUAUUUAAUUCUUAGUGAUAUAAUUGCCGUGAAACUGAUUAUAUGUUAGACGUAAUUUUUUGUUCCAUUAUUA
rnacentral:lncRNA from 1 species